rnacentral:tRNA from 1 species
GUUGUUUGGCCGAGUGGUUAAGGCGUGCUUCUAAUGUUACCCCGCAGCGAGAGUUCGAAUCUCUCAUGCAACA